CGGAUUGUAGGCUGCAACUCGCCUACAUGAAGUCAGAAUUGCUAGUAAUCGCGGAUCAGCAUGCCGCGGUGAAUACGUUCCCGGGCCUUGUACACACCGCCCGUCACACCAUGGAAGUCUGCAAUGCCCGAAGCCGGUGGCCUAACCACUUAUGUGGAAGGAGCCGUCUAAGGCAGGGCAGAUGACUGGGGUGAAGUCGUAACAAGGUAAC
rnacentral:rRNA from 1 species